GUCAACGAUCUUUAUAAAGUUGUUUGAAGCGUCUAUGAUAAACAGAGAGCAAAUUAGAAUCCAAGGAAGUUGACAUGUCAUCACUUCAUUUUUUUGCGCCUGCGCAUAAAUCUGAGAAACGUGAGUUUUGUCUUCAUUGUUUAUCUCGACAUAGGAUAGGUUGUGUGAAAAUAUUACUGAUGUUUAACGUUAAAAAUGGACCAAAAGAUUAAUGCUAAACAACAUUUGACAUGUUUGAACGAACAUAAAUAGAUUAUUUACUAGGUUUUUUUAGCUUUUCGGGCGUGAUUUUACAGUCCCCCACCACGUUUUGUGGGAGCAUAAUGAACGCUAAGUACUUGGUGUUAUUUGGACAUAAAUUAUGAACUUUGUCAAAAGAAACCACAUUUGUUACGGACCUGUGAUGCCUUCCGGACCUGGGAUGCCAGUCUUCUGAUGGAGAUAAUCAAAGGAAUCCGGAAGUCCCCAAAGGCUGUAUUUCCGAGAAGACCCGAAGCCACCCGAGUUCCCUCGAGAAUCAUCGGCGAUGGGUGAGUCAGAUACACCGGAACCUAUGCAACUGGGCAGAACUAGAUUAUCGCCUAGGGAACGUUCACAUAGACUAAGUUCCAACAGUUGUCUGUACUGUGGGGCUGCGGGACAUUAUAUAGCCACCUCCCGGUUAAGAGACCUAUUUCGUUAAUCUGCUGGUUUUAGGAAAUCACAGUGAGGCUAUACAGCUUCCUCUCAUUUAUUUCCCCCCCCCAUUGUCCUGUUGUGUUGGGAUUUUCUUGACUCAAAAAACACCCCCGUUAUUGAGUUCCAUCCUGAGUUGGGGUCCGUUCUGCCAUUCCCAAUGCCUCAAAGCAGCGCAGCAGCCUUCCCUGAGACGGCGUCCUAAGGGCUUAAGUCAAGCCUCGGAUUUCUCUGCCGUCCCAUGUCCUCCUGGAGGUCUUCAGAGUACCAUGACCUCCUGGAGGUCUUCAGCAAGGCACGGGCUACUUCUCUUCCCCCGCAUCGUCCCUACGAUUGUGCCAUUGGCCUUCUCCCAGGCACCACACCGCCUCCUGGUCAACUAUAUUCCCUAUCCAGCCAGGAGACCAAGGCCAUGGAGGAGUAUAUUAAUGACUCUCUGACUGCUGGAGGCAUCUGUCCUUCUGCAUCCCCUGCCGGUGAAAGGUUUUUCUUUGUGGAAAAGGACAAGACCCUGCGUCUGUGCAUUGACUACCGGGGCCUUAACCUGUUGGGGGUAUGGGGCAGUAUUGACACGGCCGGAUAAAAAACGUACCCGAUUUAAUCUGGUUACUACUCCUGCCCAGUAACUAGAAUAUGCAUAUAAUUAUUGGCUUUGGAUAGAAAACACCCUAAAGUUUCUAAAACUGUUUGAAUGGUGUCUGUGAGUAUAACAGAAUUCAUAUGGCAGGCAAAAACCUGAGAAGAUUCUGAACAGGAAGUGGCCUGUCUGACAAGUUGUUGUUCAUCUUGGCUCUUUUUAUUGAAGACUGAGGAUCUUUGCUGUAACGUGACACUUCCUACGGCUCCCAUAGGCUCUCAGAGCCCGGGAAAAAGCUGAAUGAUAUCGAGGCAGCCCCAGGCUGAAGCACAUUUACGCUUUUGGCAAGUGGCCGAUCAGAGGACAAUGGGCUUAGGCGCGUGCACGAGUCGACCCCGUGCUUUAUUUUCUUUCCUCUUUUUACCUAAACGCAGAUUCCCGGUCGGAAUAUUAUCGCUUUUUUACGAGAAAAAUGGAAUAAAAAUUGAUUUUAAACAGCGGUUGACAUGCUUCGAAGUACGGUAAUGGAAUAUUUACAAUUUUUUUGUCACAAAAUGCGCCGUGCUCGUCACCCUUCUUUACCCUUUCGGAUAGUGUCUUGAACGCACAAACAAAACGCCGCUAUUUGGAUAUAACAAUGGAUUAUUUGGGACCAAACCAACAUUUGUUAUCCUGUUGGGGCUACAGGUUAGCAAUGAACCCCGAGUCGGGAUUGCU
rnacentral:lncRNA from 1 species